rnacentral:lncRNA from 12 species
CGGCCCUGCAGCUUCUGCAAGGGCGCGGGGGUCCCGGGGCUUUUGGAGAUCCGGGCCAGACCCCUGGCCCAGCCGAGCCGCCCCCCAGAGCAGGGAGGCCCUGGGCCUGGGCUUGCGGCCCGCUCUGCCGCUUACAGGCUCCCGGCCUGCGACAAAUGGGAAGCCUGCCUCCUUCACCGAGCGACGAUGAUGACGCUGGGCUGGCCGGCGGCAUGGGGACGAAUGAGACACUGCGGGCAGGGCGUGCGUCCCUUCCUGCCCCGCGGCCCCCAGCACCUGGCACCCGGGCUCGGCCCCACACCUGUGAGGGGACCGUGGCCCUGAUCUGUCUCCCUGGCUGUGCGCCCCCCAGGGCUGCAGGAGACCCCGAAGCACUGCCCAGAGGGUUGCUGUUGGAGUGUUUGGCUCCGGUAUCAUUCCUGAUCCAGAGGCCGUCUCACGUGCCGACCAACUCCUGCCAGUCGCCGGGGGCUGCUGUCAUCAAGGGCUUGACGGGGGCCAGGAUGGGCUCCCGAGGUGGCCGCCCCACUGGCCACAGCAGGAGAGCUCCCCUGGAGCUGCUGGAACGUCCUCACCGGGGGGUGGACAGAAUCAGGAGGAGCCCAGGAGCCAGUCACCAAACCCCACCCCCCGAGGGGGUGUGGGUCCGUUCUGUGUCGCGGAGGGAGGAGCAGCCCGUCCCUCCCUGUCCCAGUCCCCUGGACCCUGGCCCACAGCCGGCCCUGAGCCCCCCUCCUGGUGUUGCGCCCCUCCCCGCAGCCCUCCCCUGCCUGGCUCCCUCCUCCUCUGUCCACAGGCACAGCCCCUGCCGGUCUGUCUGUCUGUCUGGUGGUGUGUUUCUCACUGGUCACCAUUCUCGGGUCCCACCUCCGUGCCCGGUGAGACGUCGUCUCAACCACUGAGCCACCCAGGCGUCCCCUCAGAUGGGCAAAUAGAAAGGAAAUAUUUGUCUGAGCCUAAAGUUACCUAAAUAAAGCGUUUGGUGCG